UACGUAGGCAGCAAGCGUUGUUCGGAUUCAUUGGGCGUAAAGGGUGCGUAGGUGGCGCUGUAAGUCAGGUGUGAAAUUUCGGAGCUUAACUCCGAAACUGCAUUUGAUACUGCGGUGCUCGAGGACUGGAGAGGAGACUGGAAUUUACGGUGUAGCAGUGAAAUGCGUAGAGAUCGUAAGGAAGACCAGUGGCGAAGGCGGGUCUCUGGACAGUUCCUGACACUGAGGCACGAAGGCCAGGGGAGCAAACGGG
rnacentral:rRNA from 1 species